GUACACGCUGUGACUAGCAUAUCAAUAAGCGGAGGAAAAGAAACUAACAAGGAUUCCCCUAGUAACGGCGAGUGAAGCGGGAAGAGCUCAAAUUUGAAAUCUUAAAGGGUUUCCCUUUACGAAUUGUAGUUUAAAGAAGUGUUUUCUGUUGAGGUUUUGGUAAAAGUUCUUUGGAAUAGGACAUCAUAGAGGGUGAGAAUCCCGUAUUUGACCUUUACUUUCAACUUUGUGAUACACUUUCAAAGAGUCGGAUUGUUUGGGAAUGCAGUCCAAAAUGGGUGGUAAAUUUCAUCUAAAGCUAAAUAUUGGCGAGAGACCGAUAGCGAACAAGUACCGUGAGGGAAAGAUGAAAAGAACUUUGAAAAGAGAGUUAAACAGUACGUGAAAUUGUCAAAAGGGAAGCGUUUGACACCAGUGUUGUUUUUCUGAAAAUCAAUUAAAGAACUGUUUAUGCUAAGUUGUUUAGACUUUAUCAGCUAACUGUUUAGUUUUGAGCUUUUCCUUAAUGCACUUUUCAGUUAACAAGUCAACAUCAAUUUCUUUUGCUGUAAAAAAGCUUGAGGAAGGUGGCUUGAGAUUCGUCUUAAGUGUUUAUAGCCUCUUGCCUAUGCAGUCGGAGAGAUUGAGGUCUGCAGCGUAGAUCCUUCGGGGCUAAAUGCAUUUGUGCUAAGUUAUAGCAUUUUAUAGACAACUUGUUGACUAUGAUUUGUCUUGUAGCUUACUCGCUUAUGUUAUUUUACCUACGCUUAGGAUGUUGAGUCGUAGAGCACGCAG
rnacentral:rRNA from 1 species